rnacentral:rRNA from 1 species
AUUGAACGCUGGCGGCAGGCCUAACACAUGCAAGUCGAGCGGAUGAAGGGAGCUUGCUCCUGGAUUCAGCGGCGGACGGGUGCGUAAUGCCUAGGAAUCUGCCUGGUAGUGGGGGAUAACGUCCGGAAACGGGCGCUAAUACCGCAUACGUCCUGAGGGAGAAAGUGGGGGAUCUUCGGACCUCACGCUAUCAGAUGAGCCUAGGUCGGAUUAGCUAGUUGGUGGGGUAAAGGCCUACCAAGGCGACGAUCCGUAACUGGUCUGAGAGGAUGAUCAGUCACACUGGAACUGAGACACGGUCCAGACUCCUACGGGAGGCAGCAGUGGGGAAUAUUGGACAAUGGGCGAAAGCCUGAUCCAGCCAUGCCGCGUGUGUGAAGAAGGUCUUCGGCUUGUAAAGCACUUCAAGUUGGGAGGAAGGGCAGUAAGUUAAUACCUUGCUGUUUUGACGUUACCAACAGAAUAAGCACCGGCUAACUUCGUG